rnacentral:rRNA from 1 species
GACGAACGCUGGCGGUGGGCUUAACACAUGCAAGUCGAACGGAAAGGCCCUGCUUUCGUGGGGUGCCCGAGGGGCGAACGGGUGAGUAACACGUGAGUAACCUGCCCUAGACUUUGGGAUAACUUCAGGAAACGGGGGCUAAGACCGGAUAGGAGCUCCUGCUGCAUGGAGGGGGUUGGAACGUCUCGGCGGUUGGGGAUGGACUCGCGGCUGAUCAACUAGUUGGUGGGGUAGGGGCUUACCAAGGCAUUGGAGGGUAGCCGGCCCGGGAGGGUGACCGGGCACAUUGGUACUGCGAGACGGACCAGAGUCCAACAGGGGACAACAGUGGGGAGUAUUGCACAAUGGGCCGAAGUCUGAUGCAGAGGCGCCGCGUGCGGAAUGACGGCCUUCGGGUUGUGAACCGCUUUCGCCUGUGACGAAGCGGGAGUGACGGUAAUGAGUAAAGAAGCACCGGCUAACUACGUG